AGGCCAUGAUAUGGGCAAUGUCUCAUCAUGUCUUUGUACCUUUCCUAGCCUUCAAAGAGAGAUUCCCCACCAGCUUGUCUAAAAUAAGUGAUUUGGUUUCUUUGAGUUU